UAAGCGGGCCAUGCCGUGCAACCUUGG
rnacentral:piRNA from 1 species